CCUACGGGAGGCAGCAGUAAGGAAUAUUGGGCAAUGGACGCAAGUCUGACCCAGCCAUGCCGCGUGCAGGAUGACAGCCCUUUGGGUUGUAAACUGCUUUUGUACGGGAAAAACCUCCGGUCGUGACCGGAGUGAUGUACCGUAA
rnacentral:rRNA from 1 species